rnacentral:tRNA from 1 species
UCCCUGGUGGUCUAGUGGUUAGGAUUUGGCACUGUCAGUGCUGUGGCCCAGGUUCAAUCCCUGGUCAGGGAA